GAUGAACGCUGGCGGCGUGCUUAAUACAUGCAAGUCGAACGGAAAGGCGCUGCUCUUGUGGGGCGCAUGUGUGGCGAACGGGUGAGUAUCACGCGUGUAACACGCCCCUAUCUGUCGGAUAACAUCUGGGAACUCGGGAUAUUAUACCAGAUAAUAUUUUGCUCCAUGUUGGUGGUAGGUAAGAUUCGGUGGUUGGGGCUGGAAUCGAGGCUUAUCAGCUGGUUGGGGGGGUAGGGGAUGUCCAAGGUUUUGACGGGUAGCCGGCCUUGGAGGGUGACCGGCCUCCAUGGGACUGAGGGACGCCCCAGACUGCAACGGGAGGCAACAGGGGAGAAUAUUGCACAAUGGGCCGACGCCUGAUGCGACAACGCCGCGUGCGGGAUGCCGGCCUUCGGGUUGUAAACCGCUUUCGCCUGUGACGAAGCGUGAGUGACGGUAAUGGGUAAAGAAGCACCGGCUAACUACGUG
rnacentral:rRNA from 1 species